GUGGGGAAUCUUAGACAAUGGGGGAAACCCUGAUCUAGCCAUGCCGCGUGAUCGAUGAAGGCCUUAGGGUUGUAAAGAUCUUUCGCUGGGGAAGAUAAUGACUGUACCCAGUAAAGAAGCCCCGGCUAACUCCGUGCCAGCAGCCGCGGUAAUACGGAGGGGGCUAGCGUUAUUCGGAAUUACUGGGCGUAAAGCGCACGUAGGCGGACCAGAAAGUUGGGGGUGAAAUCCCGGGGCUCAACCUCGGAACUGCCUUCAAAACUCCUGGUCUUGAGUUCGAGAGAGGUGAGUGGAAUUCCGAGUGUAGAGGUGAAAUUCGUAGAUAUUCGGAGGAACACCAGUGGCGAAGGCGGCUCACUGGCUCGAUACUGACGCUGAGGUGCGAAAGCGUGGGGAGCAAACAGGAUUAGAAACCCUGGUAGUCC
rnacentral:rRNA from 1 species